rnacentral:lncRNA from 1 species
UGGAUAGUUAGGUAUUCUGGAAUUAGUCUUUAUGCUAGAUUCUGGAAUAUGAUUGAUUGUGUUAAUUUGCGAUUAAUACUAGGAACCUUGUGUUAUUUUUAUCGGGUUUAGUAUUAAUCAUAUUUUGGCCAUAUAGCAUUUGUGUAACCCACAAUGCUAGGCAUGUUUGAGGUGGAAUGUGUUGAUUGUGUGGUGAUUAAUACUAGGAACCUUGUGUUAUUUUUAUCGGGUUUAGUAUUAAUCAUAUUUUGGCCAUAUAGCAUUUGUGUAACCCACAAUGCUAGGCAUGUUUGAGGUGGAAUGUGUUGAUUGUGUGGUGAUUAAUACUAGGAACCUUGUGUUAUUUUUACCGGGUUUAGUAUUAAUCGUAUAUUGGCCGACAGCAUUUGCGUAACCUACAAUGCUAGGCAUAUUGGGGUGAGUUAGUGUUCCUUCAGACCUCGUACCCGGCGGGUUCAAGGAAACCCCUUAUUCGCUGGAUCGGGAAGACUUAGACGAACGGGGUCAUGUCCUUUGGCUGAGUAUUACACGACGGUGUAAUGUGGCAGUGACCCGAAGGACUGUGGGCUGUCGCGCGGUGACCCGAAGGACUGUGGGCCGUGGUCGGUUGAAAGUUCCUUCUUCUGGCCUUUGUGGUAAGAAGAUAGGAUAUUGCCGAUAGUGAAGGAGGAACAUAACGUCACCAGGGCCCGAGUUUGUUAUAUAUAUUAUAUCGUGUUUCGGGUUAUUGAACCCUGGUUUAAGUCGAGUUUGAGUUUGGUGUUGAGCUAGUAAUUAGCAUAUUGCUAGUUAACUUACUAUCUUUUUCCAGCUGCGUAUUUCUGAUAUUGUUUAUUGUUAUUGAGUUGUGUUGUUAGGUGAACCUCUCGCUUUAGAUUGUUUGGGGAGGGAUAGCGAGGGGUUGUAUUUGUUAGUUGGGGAUUGUAACUCGCUGAGUAAUGCUAGAUUACUCACUCCUCACUCGUUGUUGUUUCAGGUGACCAGUAGUGAGCUUGUAGAGGUCGCGGGAGGCUAGGCUGGCUGGUGUAGAUUUGCAUCUUUUUGCUUAAGAUGCUUUCAGACUAUAAGUAUGUACUUUCGCUUUCUUGGCAUGCCACCACUUAUAUAAUAUUUUGUGUAUUGUAACCAGAUAUUAUAUAAGAUAAAUAAAGCGAAUGUUUUGUGCAAAUGCCUUGUUGUUCUGAUAUUAGCUUGUCCGAGCUAACACAACGUCAGAUCGGAGUACGAGUUGAGAAGCAUUAGGCUUUGGUCUGACGGGACGUGUUAGUGGGCGGCCUGGCCUAGUUACGAAUUGCACUUUUUGUAACUUUGGCUGGAUUACCCGUUAACCCGUCAUGUAGCGCUCCCGAAUCUCGGUAGACGGUCGGGUCAUCUGUCAUGUUCUUGUUUGAUUGUUGGCCGGUGGUUCGACCUAUGCCUAGAACGGUUCGGGGGUGUUACAGAGGUGGUAUCAGAGCAUGGUUUCGUCCAUGCAUGACACAAGUGCUUUUUAAUGAUUUUAUCGAGUCGAAGGAGUCGCAAAAAGAUGAUUAGGAAACCAGCCGCUUCCCGUAGUAGGAAUAUGACUUACCCUUUUGAUUGUGUGCAGAUGGCUAAUCGCGGGACAGGUGAUGAUGGACGAGGUCGGAUAUGGUGAGAGGGUAUGGAUUGGACAGGCGGAGGAUUGGGUUACAGAUCUGAUCAAGAGGAUGGAAAUGGCAUUAGUGAGAUGUUUGGACACGAUAGGAGCCCUCUGCAGAGAACAAGAUCUUUUCCUGUGUAUGGUAACAGGACUAGAGUGAGGGAAGACAGUUUGGCGAGUAUUGGCCCAUGUCGUAAUUGGGACCGGAGAGAUUAACAUGAUCAAUCCGUUCAAUCACACCCAAGGCCAGAUCAGAACCGUGCCACUGAAGGACCACAAGAUCAAGGAGCGGAAAACACCCUGAAGCUUUUACAUGACGUGAUGACCGAGGCACUUGGUAACCAAGGCAUGCGUACUCAACCCCCUGAAGUUUCCAAACUAUUAUCAACCAUGAAGAACAUUGGGUCCUACAAGUUCAAAGGAUGAUCUGAUCCUAUUGAAGCCGGCAAGUGGAUUACUAUGAUGGAGAAGAACUUUGAGGCUAUGGAGUGUCCGGAGGAGUAUCAGAAGAAGAUCGCGGUGUACUAUUUGGAAGGCGACACAAAAGGAUGGUGGGACAGUAUAGACAGACAGCGUGGACACACCAUCACAUCAUGGGAAUCGUUCAAGGGAGAGUAUGAGAGGAAGUAUUUUCCUCCAGAAGCAAAGCAUCGGUUGGAGCGCCAAUUCAUGAACCUUGUUCAAGGAGAUAGGCCAAUGAGGAGUUACGAAUCUGAGUUCACAAGGUUGAGGCGACACGUUUUUGAUGGGCGUGAAGAUGAAGCAACUAUGAUCCGUAACUUUAUGUACGGAUUGAAGCCGGAGCUUGGAAGUCGUUUAGCUGGAAGCAACUUUAGCAGCUUAUCGGAUCUGGUGGAAAAAGCUGUUAAUGUUGAGACUGUAUUGGAGGCUGAUAGGAAGACCAUACCGCAUUCUGGUGGACCUACCAAGUUUAGCCAAGGAGGAAGAUCAAAUUUCAACAAGGGUCCAUGGUUUAACAAAGGCAAAGGGAAAAAAUUUGGAGGCCAAACCAAUUAUCGCAGUAACACCGGAGUAUGUUACAUAUUUGAUCAACCGGGACACAUUUCCAAGUUUUGUCCCAACAGACAACGGAGUAAACAGCAAGGUUAUUCAUCGCUGAGGAUGGAAGAUGUCACUUGUUUCUUCUGUGGAAGGAAGGGCCAUUAUGCAUCGUCAUGUCCAAACAAGCCAAUCCCUGCGACCCCUCUCGCGAUCCGAGCUCCUCCUAGCCGUCCAGCUAUUGAGCCAGCACCAAAGAAGCAAAACCUAGGAGGUAGAGUUUAUGCCUUAGGGGUAGAAAACUCAGACAAUGCAGGACCGUCAAGCGGUCCCAUCACAGGUAUUGGGUGCUUAACCUCCUCUGUUUUCUUGAAUGGAAUUUAGUUGUUGGAACCUAGUUAGUAUGCUGGUUAAGUAUAGAUUGCUUGAUAGGUUGCGCGUUUAGAAAUUUUGGAUUGAUGAUUGAUGGUUGUGCGAAUUUUGAUUAGUUUUUGUGAUUGAGAUAUUGUUGAUUGGGUUACUGUGGCAGGAACCAUACAUGUUGCUGGUAAACCCACACAUGUAUUGUUCGACUCGAGGGCAACACAUAGUUUUGUGACCCCUGAAGUAGCUGCCCGGUUUUGGGAUUGUUUUGUGGUUGACAGGAUAAACGUGGCUGUCUUGACCCCCGCAGACCGAACCCUUCAAGCAGAUCAAUGUAUCAAGAAUGUUCCAUUGGUCAUUCAAGAGAAAGAAUUUGUGGCAGAUCUGUUAGUCGUGCCUUUGAAAGGGUACGAAGUAAUCCUUGGAAUGGAUUGGUUAUCGAGCUACAGAGUUCAGAUCGACUGUGGAAAGGGAAGGUUGUUGUUUGGCAGAGGUAAACGAUCAGAGAUGGUAUACUAUGGAAUCAGUCCUAGUAUGACCGUGUCUUUGGUAGCAGCAAUGAGAGUACAAGAUUUGUUUCAAGAUGGGGAAGUAUAUUUGGUGACCUUAUCAGUUAGUGGAGGAGCCACUAAUGAUGAAGUUAAGGUCGAAGACAUAGAAGUGGUUCAAGAGUUUGAGGAUAUCUUUGCACCACUAAAGGAAUUACCUCCACCUCGGAGUAAUCCCUUUACCAUUACUUUGGAUCCUGAAGCAAAACCUAUAGCUAAGGCACCAUAUCGGAUGGCACCAGCGGAGUUGGCUGAGCUAAAGAAGCAAUUGGAAGAUCUAUUGGAAAAGGGAUUCAUCCGAUCGAGCUCUUCACCUUGGGGAGCUCCUGUGCUAUUUGUGAAGAAGAAGGACGGAAGCAUGAGGUUGUGUAUUGAUUAUCGUGGUAUCAACAACAUCACGAUAAAAGAUAAGUAUCCUCUUCCGAGGAUAGACGAGUUGUUAGACCAACUAAAGGGAGCUAGUUGGUUUUCGAAGAUUGAUUUGGCAUCAGGGUAUCACCAAAUUCCUAUUGCCAAGUCAGACAUCAUGAAGACGGCGUUUCGGACGAGGUAUGGGCAGUACGAGUUUGUAGUUAUGCCCUUUGGUCUCACAAACGCACCUGCGGCUUUCAUGCGCCUGAUGAAUGAAGUGUUUCACGACUACCUCGACAAGUUCGUGAUCAUUUUCAUUGACGACAUCCUGGUGUAUUCGAGAAGUAAGGAGGAGCACAAAGAGCAUAUGAGACUGGUUAUGGAGAGGUUACAGAAUCAGAAGCUAUUUGCCAAGUUCAGCAAGUGCUCAUUUUGGAAUAGAGAGAUAGGAUUUCUGGGUCACAUAGUAUCAGGAGAGGGCGUGGCUGCUGAUUCAGAAAAGGUCCAAGCCAUACGGGAAUGGUCUCGACCUACCACUGUGACGGAAGUAAGGAGUUUUCUCAGACUUGCGGGCUAUUAUCGGAAGUUUGUUAAGGACUUUUCCUCCAUUGCAAAGCCUUUAACUAAACUUACCGGUAAAGGAGUUCCUUUCUUAUGGGUGCAAGAAACCGAGAACGCUUUCAAGAAGUUGAAGGAAGCUCUCACGACCGACACCUGUGUUAGCUUUGCCCGAGCAAGGUAAACCUUACACGGUUUACACGGAUGCUUCACGAGUUGGGUUAGGUUGUGUUCUUAUGCAAGAUGGGCGAGUCAUCGGGUAUGCCUCACUACAACUACGGAAGCAUGAGGAUAACUACAGUACACAUGACUUGGAGUUAGCGGCUGUGGUGUUCGCUUUGCGAAUUUGGAGAUCUUACUUGUAUGGAGAAGAAGUAGAGGUAUACACGGACCAUCAAAGUCUUAAAUACCUCUUCACUCAGCCAGAUCUCAACCUGCGCCAGCGUAGGUGGAUGGAGUUUGUGGCAGACUACGAUAUAAGGAUUCGCUACCAUCCUGGUAAAGCGAAUGUUGUUGCGGACGCCUUAAGUCGAAGAAAGUUGGACGCAGAUUUAGAGAAAGAAGUGGAGCUGUUGAACCAAGAAUUGAAACAAGUAAAUUUGGUCGUUUUGGAAGGGAAAGCGAGCGAGCCAUUGGGACUUCAAGCGGUGAACCAGGCCAGCUUGAUUCAGAGAAUUCGAGAAGAACAAAUUAAGGAUGAGAAGCUAUUGAAGAUUGCUGAGGAACUUAAAGGACAAGGUGGGCCAAAUAGUGCUGGAUACUACUUGGCGGAGGAUGGAACCUUGCUAAUUAAUGGGAGGAUCACGGUUCCUAAAGGACAAUGGCUGAGAGAUGAGAUACUAAGGAUUGCUCAUCAUUCUUUACUUAGUAUCCAUCCUGGAAGUUCGAAGAUGUACCAAGACGUGAGAAGAUACUAUCAUUGGCCGGGAAUGAAGAGAUCAGUAGCGCAAUGGGUCGCGCAGUGUGCAACUUGUCAACAAGUCAAGGUCGAACAUCAAGUUCCAGAAGGAUUAUUGCAGAGUCUUCCGAUACCUCAAUGGAAAUGAGACUCUAUUUCCAUGGAUUUCAUCACUGGAUUACCCACUGCUCCAGGUAGAUCGAACAACUCGAUAUGGGUGAUUGUGGAUAGGUUAACCAAGGUUACACACUUGUUGCCUAUGUGGGACACUGAUAAAGUUAAAGUGUUGGCUGAGCUGUACAUCGACGAAAUUGUGAAGUUACAUGGUGUACCCUCAGACAUCGUCUCAGAUCGCGAUCCAAGGGUCACGGCAUCAUUCUGGGAAGCACUGCAAGAAGCCUUGGGAACUAAACUAUUUAGAAGUACGGCGUUCCAUCCAGAAACAGAUGGCCAAACGGAGAGAACCAUUUGGACCAUUGAGGACAUGCUUCGGAUGUGUAUUCUCGAUUGGGCAGGAACUUGGGAGAAGCAUUUACCAUUGGUCGAGUUCUCGUAUAACAACAGUCAUCAUUCGAGCAUAGGGAUGUCACCUUAUGAAGCGUUAUACGGAAGGCCAUGCAAAACACUUAUGUGUUGGACGGAAGUGGGCGAAAGAAGAAUGUUUGGGUCACCUAUCGUUCAGGAGACCAUGAUUAAGUUGGAGACCAUUCAGGCCAACAUGAAGAAGGCUCAGGACCGUCAGAAUAAGUACGCAGACCAGUCAAGAAGAGAGGUAACUUUCGAGAUAGGAGAUUGGGUCUAUUUGAAGGUUACUGCACAGAAAGGGAAGGACAGAUUUGGCAAGGUCGGGAAACUUGCGGUCAGGUUCAUUGAUCCGUACAAGAUCAUCGGGAAAGUUGGUGAGGUAGCUUACCGUUUGGAUCUGCCAGCGGAUAUGCAUCUACAUCCUGUAUUUCAUGUUUCCAUGCUUCGAAAACAUAUACGGGAUCCAAGUAUUGCUGAACCCGAGAGACUAGAGGAGUUGAGGACAAACCUUACGUAUCUGGAAGGACCAAUCAGAUUGGGAGAACGGCGUAUUCGGAAGCUGAAGAAUCGUGAGAUUGCUCAAGUACAAGUGUUCAGGGGAAGACAAAACAGGAUUCAUGUUACUUGGGAUAAUGAAGCGCGAUUUAAAACCGAUCACCCGGAGUUCUUCUGAGAGGAUGUUGUGAUGGAAGAAGGAGGCCCCUCAGAACCUUAGAAUUCGAGGAUGAAUUCUGUUAAGGAUGGGGGGGGGAAGGGGAGAAUGUAGAAACCCAUAAGAAAAAAAAAAAAAUGGUCGAGUAUCUUUUGGGUGGUCGAGUCGCGGACGAUCAGAUUGUUUUUGUCUAAACCAUGAGUCAACUAUCCCACUAGACAAUGGUUAGACAAUGUGGUAUAUUUACUCAAAGGACGUUUGAAGCAUAACACUUUUGGAAGCACAACAGGAAGACCGGAAAUUGGGCGAAAAACCCUAAUUUCGGUAUUAUGGAAUUUUUCGAAGAAGCCGGAAACUCGAGAAAUAUUUUCCAUCAAGUCAGGAUUCAUUUGGAGUUUAUUAAAAAUAAUCAGAUCAUCAGAACGGGCAUCAAAAAAUAUUGGGAUUGAUCGCGGGACGAAAAAUUCACCGGAAAGGCCAAAAUUGGACGAAUGGACCGAGAAGCUCGAGGUGACUCGAUCUAUGAGAUCAGGACGUGGUGGCAACUUCCUGGCAUGGUAUGUGGCAAGAGAAGCAAGAGGUGUUGCAGUAAAAAUGAUCACAGCAUGCGGAGUGACACAUAGAAGCAUGAGGUGGAACGGCCAAGCACGAGGUGUUGCGAUGCAUGCGACCAGGCCAUGCGGCCAGACGUGUGGAGGACGUGGUAUCUCCUUGCAUGGAGCCAGGCCAUGAAUCCAGACAGGUAGAGGGCGUGGUGUCAUCCUGCAUGAGACUGAGACAUGCAGCUAGCCAUGUGGAGCACGAGGUGCCGCCGCGCAUGCGUCCGGAGCCAUGUGAAGCGACACACGGGCUGCCACACUGCUUGUUCCUGAUUGGUUGCUGUUUCCUAUAAAUAGCCCACGACCCUUCUCAUUUGAACACAUUCAGAACACUUGAAAGGCAGUUCAAAACGUGAGAGAGAAAGCAAAGAAAGAAAGAUCGAGUUUCGAUAGUUUUCGAGCGAUUUAGGCAGUUUUCGAGAACUGUUAUUCUGCCGAUUUUGAGUCAGCACCUGGAGAAGGUUCUGUUCAAGUGAAGGGAGAUCAGAUAUAGUGUAUACCAGUUCAAGACCAGUCUGGACGUGGGUCUGCUUGAGAAGGUCGAGAAAGGGUUUGGAUCGCAGAAGUCGGGUUUGGGGUCAAGGCCACGGUCAACCAAAAACUGUGAGUUAUAAUCGAUUGAUUGCUGAGUUAUUUUCAUGCAGGGUCCCGUUAUUUGAAGUUGGAUCAUGGCAGGUGGCCGGAUCUAACUGAGUAACGGUUUGAAUAAUUGAGGUUAUGUUGAUUGAGUUGAUGGCAUGCUUGUUAUUGUUUGAGAACCGUAGUAGCAUGCUAAUGGUUAGAUUGAUUGGUUAGUUAGCGAAUGCGGAAUGCUUAGAUGAUAUCGAUAAGCUGUGGAUAGUUAGGUAUUCUGGAAUUAGUCUUUAUGCUAGAUUCUGGAAUAUGAUUGAUUGUGUUAAUUUGCGAUUAAUACAAGGAACCUUGUGUUAUUUUUACCGGGUUUAGUAUUAAUCAUAUUUUGGCCAUAUAGCAUUUGUGUAACCCACAAUGCUAGGCAUGUUUGAGGUGGAAUGUGUUGAUUGUGUGGUGAUUAAUACUAGGAACCUUGUGUUAUUUUUACCGGGUUUAGUAUUAAUCGUAUAUUGGCCG